UCCUUCCGUAUAAAUACAGCCUGCACCCUAGUUUCGGUCUCCUUCUUCUCUCAAGAGUCUGGUGUAAGGAUCCUUUUGCGGGGUUCGAAGCCUACAAUCGUAUUGAUGAGAACUAAAGCCCCCAUGAUGUCAAGCAUGCAGAAUAAGUUGCAGAUCCUGGUUGUACUAUCUGGGCUGUCUACAUGAGCCAUGAGCCCCAGAACCUGUUGUCAAUAAGACUGGAAAGGACUGGUGGUACAAAUGUCUGGAAAGGACUGGUGGUACAAAUGUCGCAUCUACAAAGGACUCCUUCCAGGUCCUGAGGACUUGGUACAGGUGGAUCUUACGUGGCAUUGCUGUAUGGCUGAAUAGACAAGACUAGAACCUGGAUGCAGUGCUGAUGUUUGACGGUUGAUCUAGGAAGGAAGGCAUGUCUGAUGGCCGGUGGAGUUGUCUCAAAUGUUAGUGACAUCACAAUUGCAUGCCAUCUGUGGGUGUAUGGAACAUGGUAUGGUUAGACCUCGACGACAUGUUGGGAUUACCACAGUUCAUGGAUGUGGUCUUGUAAUUCUGUCAUGCAAGUCAUUGUUUGAUCUGAGUAUUUCAAUAAAAUAUUUUUCCAAAUCC